CUCUUUCUUCUUCUGACUCCUGAUUGACCCUAGUGUUUCCCCGUGUGGACCCUGGGGAGUGGUGGUAUCCCCCCUCCUCUUGUGACUUGGUUGCUCUAAAGAGAUUGCCUGAGUUGUAGCUAUAGCCAGGAUACAGUGAAGAAGAAAGUGAAAAAGAAAUUUCUGUCUUGUGUUGUAUUCUUGACAUACAUAAAAGAAGCAAACAAAAUGGCUCAAAGCUUGAACAUGGACCCAGAUCUGGACUUCGAGACCCGAAGGGCAGUCCACGAGAGGCUUCUGGGAAAGUUAUUCUGUCCAGAUAAAGAGAGAUGCAUGGAAAAUCUGUCUUUCUUCUGCAUUUUGGAGUGAUUGUGUCAAGAUAUAAUACACUGGAAUAGAGGCAGCCAUUUUGUAAUCCCUACAGAAAAAGGCUGAGGAAAAAAACCAAAGUCU